GUUGUCCAGGAGUUGUCCAAGGAGUUUUCCAAGGAGUUGUCCAGGAGGCGGCGGAGAACCGACCGGACGUGGGUGACGUGCUCCUCAAGAUUGCGGGAAAAAAUCAGGAUGUCAUCCAGUUCCACAAAGACAAACUUAUUUAAAAUGUCCCGCAGCAGGUCGUUGACCAGCGCUUGAAAGACUGCCGGGGCGUGGGUCAAGCCGAAGGGCAUCACGAGAUACUCAUAAUGGCCCGUUGGUGUGUUGAAGGCCGUCUUCCAUUCGUCUAACGACGCGGCUGCCGCAAGCACCUCGUUAACACGCACACACAAUGACAUAGGGAGAGGCUUUUAUGAUUUGUAUGAAAUCUAUCUGUUUAUUUCAACCACUGCGCAAUCAACAUUCAACAUCAAAAUUAUUUCAACGUGGGCUUAGGCAGAUAGGCCUACAUGUUCAAAAUCUAUUAACAUAUUCUCCAUCCAUUAAAAGAUAAAGAUCAGUUAAAGGUCGGGUAUGGAAUUCUCUUUUUUGGCCAUUUUUGCAAAAUUACUUGAAAUCCUUAUCAUAACCCACUUACAGCCACUGAGUUAGAAGUAUUGACAUGAAAAUUAAACAAGUCAAUCAUCUGUGGAACGGGCA